rnacentral:miRNA from 1 species
UUUGACAAUGUUGCACUACU